rnacentral:rRNA from 1 species
UACGUAGGGGCCUAGCGUUGUCCGGAUUUACUGGGCGUAAAGAGCGCGCAGGCGGUCGUUCAAGUCGCGUGUGAAAGCCCCCGGCUCAACUGGGGAGGGUCACGCGAUACUGAUCGACUGGAAGGCAGGAGAGGGUAGUGGAAUUCCCGGUGUAGUGGUGAAAUGCGUAGAUAUCGGGAGGAACACCAGUGGCGAAGGCGACUACCUGGCCUGUUCUUGACGCUGAGGCGCGAAAGCUAGGGGAGCAAACGGGG